AACGAACGUUGGCGGCGUGGAUGAGGCAUGCAAGUCGAACGCGAAAGCCGCAAGGCGAGUAAAGUGGCGCACGGGUGCGUAACACGUGGAUAACCAACCCAUUGGUUUGGGACAACACCGGGAAACUGGUGCUAAUACCAGAUGUGUCGCAGCUGUCUUCAGGCGGUUGCGAGAAAGGCCCGCAAGGGUCGCCAACGGACGGGUCCGCGUCCCAUCAGCUAGUUGGUGAGGUAAUGGCUCACCAAGGCAAAGACGGGUAGCUGGUCUGAGAGGAUGAUCAGCCACACUGGAACUGAGACACGGUCCAGACUCCUACGGGAGGCAGCAGUGGGGAAUAUUGCGCAAUGGGCGAAAGCCUGACGCAGCCACGCCGCGUGAGCGAUGAAGGUCUUCGGAUCGUAAAGCUCUGUGGGGGGAGAAGAAGAAAGCCGGUGAAGAGCCGGCCCUGACGGUAUCCCCUUAGCAAGCACCGGCUAACUCCGUGCCAGCAGCCG
rnacentral:rRNA from 1 species